CUGGCUGCAGGAACCACAAGUUCCAGACUAGGUCGGAAUUCCGAAUAAUCACAGUCAAAAUCCACCCAGAUACUCUCACACGCCCAGCCGCGCGCGCAUCCCGGGGCCGCGGGGCACACGUGAGCCCACGCCCCGCGCGCCCGUCCCUGCCUCCUGCCGGAGCAUCCUCGGCUUGGGCGGCAGACGCAGCCGCCGCCGCCUCCUCCUCCUCUCGCCACCGCCUACACCGUCUCCUCUCCCCUCUCGUCCUCCUUCCUCCCCCAGUUCCUGCUCCUCCUCCCGUCCUCGGCGGCGAAGGGCAGAACCCUCAGCAGCGGCUGCCUGCGCUUGGGCCGCCAAGAGCCUGGAACAGCUGCUUUAGCAAAAGCCUUGAAGACAGCCACAAAUACUCAAGAGUCCACCACUGGGAGCGAUUUCUGGCUGUAGGACUUGAGGCAGGCGUGGGAAGGGAGCCCUGAUAUCCAGGCUGCUUUGCGUGCCUGCCCAGGUAUGGCUUGGCUCAGCCUGCUGCAGCAGAGGCUCUAUUGCCACAUCUGAAUCGUUCGCCUCACAUUCAGAUCCCUUUCACGGUAGCAGUUUGUUCAUUCUGUUUGCUUGUUUGGUUUUCUUUCUGUCUCCAUCCAAAGAAAGGUAUAUUUUCACUUUUUUUACAUGUUCUGUAUAUUUAUUAUUAAAACAUGUACAGGGACGCCUGGGUGGCUCAGUGGUUGAACGUCUGCUUUCGGCUCAGGUAAUGAUCCCGGGGUCUUGGGAUCUAGUCCUGCAUCAGGCUCCCCUCAGGAAGCCUGCUUCUCCUUCUGCCUAUGUCUCUGCUUCUCUGUGUCUCUCAUGAAUAAAUAAAAUCUUAAAAAAAUACAAUAAAACAUGUAGAAACAAUGCAGAAGUAUAUACAGAAAACAGUUAAUGACCUCCACCAUACACACAUACCCACUUGUCUUCCUUCACACCUUUCUAAUUCCCAGAGUUACUGUAUUAGCAGUUUGAUGUGUAUAAUUCCAACUUAAACACACACACAAACACAUGCGUGCAAGUGCAUGCACAUUUUUAACAAGAAUAAAAUAGUACACAUGCUGUUCUG
rnacentral:lncRNA from 1 species